UGAAUGGGAAUCGGAGCUUUGUGGCUUUGGCUUUGACCAGGCAGCUUACGCACGUUACGCACUAUACAGCCUGCAUAACUGCACAUGCACAGCACGCGAUGGUGGGUGGUCCCGUCAACUUGGAGUUAUCAUCUCCGUGGAUAAUGAAACUUGGAUGAUCCAUGGCAUUCUCUGAACUGUCGCCCGAAUUGUCACGUGCGGCCUCUUUUUCUCUUCAAAAUAACAGCACCGACAAGAGACUAUUAAAGACCGUCAACUGGGUAAAUUUUCGAGGCCGUUACUGGGGCCCCAGGGGCUCAGCGGUAAUUGAAGAGCAAUGACGUUAUCGACCAUAUGAUUGUUAAUACAAAUAUUUGAGUAAUACGUUAUUAAAAUCUUGAUUUUUUUAUUAUACAAAUACUUCAUAAGCAAAUAUGCAU